AGCUGGAAUUAAUGAAAAUACAAGUUGCUGGUAAACCUGUGAGAGAAAUUUUUUAAAUUAAAUAAUUGCAAGUGUGAGGGUCCACUUAAUGUUGUUUUUAAAUUCUUCUCAUACAUUACACCCUGAUCACAGCUUCUCUCCUUCCACUCCUAGUCCCUCCCAUACCUGCCCCACCAUUUCCUCUUUUCAAGAUCCACUCCUCCUCCAUUUCCCUUAAAAAAAAAAACAAAACAAACAAACAAAAAAAACCCACCACCACCACCAACAAAAAAACCCAAAAACAAAAAAGAAAAAAGAGCAGGUUGAAGACUGACUUUUACUCCAGUUCCUUUAAGAUAAGAAGAUACAGUCUAGAUCUUUUGAGGUGGGAAGAUCCAUCUUUAAUCUGGGCCACACUUUCUACUGGAAGUAUUUGUAAAGGUCAUGGAAGAAGGUAGAGUGAUUUCUUUGCCUGCUUGCUCUAGCUCUGUCUGACAAGUGCAUUCUUUCAUUGACAUUAGAUCCUACUCUUUUGGGAUUCUAGUAUGGAUUGGUGACAUGCUGAGAUACUCAGCCUCCUACACUGAACAACUACUAGAUUCUUGAACUUCCCAUUGGUUAGACAGCUAUUAUUGGACUUGGAUCAUGGCCUGUAAGCCAAUUUUAGUAAAUCCCCACAAAUAUAUAAAUAUAAAGAGAACCCUGAUUAAUACAGUUACAGUCCCUGUUUCUGCUGAAGUAAGAGUGGAAAAGGAGGUUAGGCAGAAGCAUCUUAGACAAUCAUCAGUCAGGGGAACAUUAGGUACACAGUGGAAACACAAGGUGUUUGCAGAGCUUUGAAUAAGAAUGCCUCCCAUUAGCUCGUGUAUUUCAGUGCUUGGUUCCUGGUUGGUGGAACUGUUUGGGAAGGAUUAGAAGGUAUAGCCUUUUUGGAGGUUAUCUGUCACUGGUGUUAGGCUUUGAGGUUGCCAGACUCCAUGCCAAGCCCAGUCUCCCUCCCUUCCCCUACCCCACUGCCUCCUUCUUCUGGAUCAGGAUUUAAGUUCUUUGCUACUGCUCCAUCCCCACAACUGCCUGCAUGUUGCCAUACUUCCUGCCAUGUUGAUCACAAACUGUUAUCAAGCUCUCAAUUUAUUUGUUUCCUUCCAUAAGUUGGUCAUGGUGUCUCUUUAUACAAUAGAACAAUGAACAAGAUUAAGACUAUACAAGGAGUCCUUUAAUGGAAAUUGGUUGUCAAAUCAGUCUCAGAUCUUUCAGAAAUAGGCCUGCAUGAACACUUCCUAUAUUCUGUCACACAUGGGAAGACUCCUAUGUAAGGGGUGGGAGUGCAAGGUUGAUUUUAACACCAGUGUGGAUAUUGGAGUAGGCACCGUCUUAGUAAACUGAUCAUUGGUAUGGGCUGUAGCUGAAAGUUUGUAGAUGCAUUCAAAACUUUUCCACUUUGCAGGUAAGAAAACUAAGGCUACACAGAGAGUAGGUAAUUAAUCUGGGGAAGGUUAACAAGUGAUAACUGACAUCCAGGGUCAAUGCAGUCUAAUGUCUCAUUCAAUGCCUUUGACCAGAUGAUCAUUUGUUAUGGUUAUAUUUGGAUAGUUUUGUGUAAGAUUAUAGUCUUUGGUUCUAAACAGAAACUUUUACAAUUUCACAUGGAUCUUAUUAAAGAAUAGUUAAAUAUUUCCUCACCCAACUGAUUCCAGCUUAGUAGGUUAGGGAUUGAACAUCAGAAUUUAUUUGUUAAGGGCCAUACUUGGUGACUUUUUACUUAUGGUUCUUGAAGCAGACUUUUAUAUACACUUCUAUGGAAAACAAAACUUCUGUUGGAUCCUGAAAAGGGUAGUAGUUGAUUGUACCAAUUUCUAGUUUCAAGGUCUUGAAUGAUUUACCUAAGUUCAAGUAACCCAGUUUACAACUUUGCAAACCAGGGUGGUAAUAAUAUUGACAAUUAAUGACACAGAACUCACACUAGGUUGAUCUGAGUUCCCACAACAACAAGAUACUUCUCUGAGUAUAUCUGUCACCAAUGAUUGGUAGAAGCUGAUUAUUUGUCAAGUGUCAUAUACUUCAAAUUUGUCUUUCUAUCUCCAUGAGGCAAAGAGGAGUAACAUUUAGUGAGACAAUACAUCAAAGAAGAAAUUUGCCUCUAUGUCUACGGUAAGACACGUUUGGUCUUCAGGGAGCAUCCCGAACCCGUGAAAGGCUUGGGAAUGGAAUCAUUUCAAUGUUCUUUCACUGGUGCCCUUGGAUUCUGUCUUCUCCACAGUGCUGCUGAUAUCUUUAACAAAUUAUCAACGAGAGUAAAUCAAGCUGCUUUGGAACAUGAUGGAAAAUUUCAUUUAUUGGUUGUCACUUUCUCUAGCUUAUUGUGGGGACCAGAAUUUGCCCAGCCUGAUACAUUUUACCCUUGGGUGCCUAAUAUACCAGAUGCUCAUGGAAAGCAGUCAUGACUUUGUCUUCCAAGGAUUUAAAAGAAUAGAGGUUUAUAAUAGUGAUGUACCUGGCAUUAAUAUUUUAUCUGCCUGUAGAUAUCUACCUCUUAUCACCGGUCACACACUACUUGGCUUCUUUGGUCUUCCAGGGACAUGGUGUGGUUGUAGAGGGAUGUUGAGAGGGGACUGUGGUCUGGCUAGACUCUUUUGUGUUGUUGAGCCAAGAUUUUGAGCAAAACUGAAAAUUAUUCAAACUUCCCUAGUUUUACCUCUACCAAUGAGGCAAUCUAUAUUUCAGUGAGAAUGAUCAGUAGAUAGACAAAUUUCUUUCCUAAGACCUAGCUGGCCUUAAAACUGUGGUUAUAUAUUAACUUGUCUUCAAUAUCAAUUCAUGUUUCUAGUAAACAAAAUAGUACAAAUUAAACUUUAGUUUCUGGAAUUCAUUUGAUAGUAUGUCAUUAAGAAAUUAAGAGAGUUUUCAAAGUAAAUGAAAUGACUAUUCAACUGGUAACUUUUAAAAAACAGUCUCUUUCUGCCUAGUGUGGUUUGGAUGAGAAGGGACAUCACAUGCACAUAAAUUUGGCUACUUGGUUCACAAUAUGUGGAAUUGUUUGGAAAGGAUUAGGAGGCGAGGGUUUGUGGGAGGGGAUAUAUUACUAGGGCUAGGCUUUCGAAAAGUUCAUGCCGUCAUGUCUAGUUAGCUCCCUCUGCCUUAUACAUGGAUCAAGAUUUAAGCUCAUCUACUGCUCCAGUGUUAUGGCUGCCUCUCUGUUGCCAGGGUCUCUGCCACGGUGGUUAUAAACUCAUCUGUAGGUCCCUGCCAUGGUGGUCAUAGACUCACCUGCAGCUGGACUUUUGUCUAUUUUGUUGGUUCUUCUUUCUUAGCCAUCCCUCUUCUUCCACCAUUUCAAUCCCCUAACCUUAGAUAGAAGAGAAAAAAGAAUAGAGGAGAAAGGGGGUCUCACUAUGGUUAGCCUACACCCUGCUGAUUAGGGGCAUCAAGUUCCUUGGGGCAAGUUUGAUCUUUGCCAUUAAGCAGUACAUCUACUUUCUUCUUGUUUCUUCUUUGUGCAUGGCGACUUAACAAAACACAAUCAACAGCAAUCAACAACCCCAGCUCUAAGGUCCUAGCAUUUAUAUACCUUCUGAAGUAUUUCUAGAAUUCCAAACAUCACACACUCACAAAAACUAUCUGCAGCCGACAAAAUCACACCCCUGCUAGAGCAUGAGUCAAGUCAUAGUCAGCUGCUGUGGACAUUCUGAAGCAGCCCCAUAGCCUGGAAAUAAAAUUAAAACAUAUUCCGGUAAUUUUUCUGUGUUUUUAAAGAAAACAAAAUUCUCACUACCUUCAUCCUCUGAAACAGUAAGGCCCAAAUAAUCUCAUUCUUUUAUAAGUUGUAAUAGAAAACUAAGGCACCCAGGCCUUCCUAGAACCUGUAUUAUACUUACAUACUCCAGACUGGCCUUCAGCUUGUAAAUUCCCAUCUCAGCCUCCAAGUGGUGGUUUACAGGAUGCUAACCACACACCUGGACCCAAGGGAAAGCUUUUCGUAAAUAUUUAUUAAGUGUAUAACAUAUAUAAUAAGGGUCUAUAUCUUAAAUUAUUUUUAAAAGCAUAAUUUUGAAUGGACUAAGAUGUAGUAAAUACAAUUAUUUUGGGACAGGGAUUUUCCUUUCCUGUGGUUUAUUCAUUUUAAAGAUGCUAAUGACUGAGUCCCUGUACUUCCCAGUUAUUGAAAUAGUGAAUGUUCAGGAAAAGGAAGUUUUCAUUAUGAGUUAUUUUUUUUAAAGAUUCUGUGUUAUCUGUCAAUACACUUAAACUUGUUCAUACUGAGUAUCUGUCAUCCACAUGACUUAUAGAUAGAUGUCAUCAUUUCUCAUUUGGCAACAUGGCAUUCCCAAGGCAUUUACUUCCCC
rnacentral:lncRNA from 1 species